CGGACAGCUUGGAGCCCGUGUUUGGGAGCAUCAGGAGGUGGUUGGAGAGUUUGCCCAACUCCAAGCCUCAGAAGCGGGCCACGACCAGCGCCAGGGCCAGCUGGGACUGCCCCGGCCUGCCCAACCUGGGGCAGCAGAGCCACCUCUCUGAGGACACCCUCUCGAGCAGCACCCAGAGGUGGCGACGAGACCACAAAGCCUUCCCGGGCACCCAGGACAUUCUCAACCAGGCGGGCAAAUUGCCCUGCUCCUGGAGCCAGAAACUGGAGUCCUCCCUGCCCCGCCUGGAGCUGAAGCGAGGCGGCCCUAGGGGGUACCAGCUGCUCCUGCCGUCCGCUCUGCAGUAGCAGGCUGGGUGACGCGUGGCCCCUGGACCCCACCCAGCCCUGGACACGGCCUGGGGUGAGGACAGGCCUUCCUUGCCCUAAAAUAAAUGUACAUCCCAGGGGGCUGGGACCUGCU